rnacentral:rRNA from 1 species
UAUCUCUGUAGAGUCUGCAUAUCAAUAAGCGGAGGAAAAGAAACUAACAAGGAUUCCCUUAGUAACGGCGAGUGAAGCGGGAAAAGCUCAAAUUUGAAAUCUUCAAGGUUCUACCUUGACGAAUUGUAGUUUAAAGAAGUGUUUUCUGUUGAAGUUUUGGUAAAAGUUCUUUGGAAUAGGACAUCAUAGAGGGUGAGAAUCCCGUAUUUGACCAUUAUUUUCAGCUGUGUGAUACACUUUCAAAGAGUCGGAUUGUUUGGGAAUGCAGUCCAAAAUGGGUGGUAAAUUUCAUCUAAAGCUAAAUAUUGGCGAGAGACCGAUAGCGAACAAGUACCGUGAGGGAAAGAUGAAAAGAACUUUGAAAAGAGAGUUAAACAGUACGUGAAAUUGUCAAAAGGGAAGCGUUUGACACCAGUGUUGUUUUUCCGAAAAUCAAUUACGAAUGGCUUGAUUCUGUGUUGUAUUGACCUUAUCAGCUUUCUUCACUUUUUUCGAGUCUUUCUUAAUGCACUCUUCGGUUAACAAGUCAACAUCAAUUUCUUUUGUUGUAAAAGAGUAUUCGGAAGGUGGCUUUCUUUUCGGAGAAAGUGUUUAUAGCCCUAUACUUCUACAAUCGGAGAGAUUGAGGUCUGCAGCGUAGAUCCUUCGGGGUUAGAUACAUUUGUGCUAAGUUGUAGCUUUUCAUAGACAACUUGUUGACUAUGUUUAGUCAUUGUAGGCUUACUCGCUUAUGCUAUUUUACCUACGCUUAGGAUGUUGAAGAUAUGCGCGACACG